GCGGGUAUAAUAUAGCAGCAGUAUGGCACCCUUCCAAGGUGCAAGCGCGGGUGCAAAUCCCGCUACCCGCU
rnacentral:tRNA from 1 species